rnacentral:rRNA from 1 species
UACAGAGGGGGCAAGCGUUGUUCGGAAUUACUGGGCGUAAAGGGCGCGUAGGCGGCCUGCUAAGUCGAACGUGAAAUCCCUGGGCUCAACCCAGGAACUGCGUCCGAUACUGGUUGGCUUGAAUCCGGGAGAGGGAUGUGGAAUUCCAGGUGUAGCGGUGAAAUGCGUAGAUAUCUGGAGGAACACCGGUGGCGAAGGCGGCAUCCUGGACCGGCAUUGACGCUGAGGCGCGAAAGCCAGGGGAGCAAACAGG